rnacentral:rRNA from 1 species
UAAUUCCAGCUCCAAUAGCGUAUAUUAAAGUUGUUGCAGUUAAAAAGCUCGUAGUUGGAUCUCGGGUCCAGGCUCGCGGUUCGCCUCGCGGCGAUUACUGCCCGUCCUGACCUACCUCCCGGUUUUCCCUUGGUGCUCUUCGUUGAGUGCUUCGGGUGGCCGGAACGUUUACUUUGAAAAAAUUAGAGUGCUCAAAGCAGGCGGACUGCCUGAAUAAUAGUGCAUGGAAUAAUGGAAUAGGACCUCGGUUCUAUUUUGUUGGUUUUCGGAACUCGAGGUAAUGAUUAAGAGGGACAGACGGGGGCAUUCGUAUUACGGUGUUAGAGGUGAAAUUCUUGGAUCGCCGUAAGACGAACUACUGCGAAAGCAUUUGCCAAGAAUGUUUUCAUUAAUCAAGAACGAAAGUCAGAGGUUCGAAGACGAUCAGAUACCGUCGUAGUUCUGACCAUAAACGAUGCCAACUGGCGAUCCGCGGGCGUUGAUUUAAUGACCCCGCGGGCAGCCUCCGGGAAACCAAAGUUUUUGGGUUCCGGGGGAAGUAUGGUUGCAAAGCUG